rnacentral:rRNA from 1 species
UCUUAUAGGGGCGGAAUUGAAUUUAGGCGGCGGGGAAUUCGCCCUUGUGCAGCCGCCGGUAAUCAAUAAAAAUAUAAGACGAUGUUCGGAUUCUGGCUAGAGCCUUUUCCGGGAAGAAAAAAUAAAUCAGGGGUGAAAUCCCAGAGCUCAACUCUGGAACUGCCUUUGAUACUGGGUAUCUUGAGUAUGGAAGAGGUAAGUGGAAUUCCGAGUGUAGAGGUGAAAUUCGUAGAUAUUCGGAGGAACACCAGUGGCGAAGGCGGCUUACUGGCCCAUUACUGACGCUGAGGUGCGAACGCGGGGGGAGCAAACAGGGUUAGAUACCCUGGGGAGGCCACGCCGUAAACGAUGAAUGUUAGCCGGCGGGCAGGAAACUGUUCGGGGGGCGCCACUUAACGCAUUUAAACAUUCCGCCUGGGGAAGUACGCCGCAGGAUUUAAACUCCAGGGAAUCGUCGUGGGCCCGCACAAGCGGGGGA